rnacentral:rRNA from 1 species
UACGGAGGGAGCUAGCGUUGUUCGGAAUUACUGGGCGUAAAGCGCGCGUAGGCGGCUUUGUAAGUUAGAGGUGAAAGCCCGGGGCUCAACCCCGGAACAGCCUUUAAGACUGCAUCGCUAGAAUCCGGGAGAGGUGAGUGGAAUUCCGAGUGUAGAGGUGAAAUUCGUAGAUAUUCGGAAGAACACCAGUGGCGAAGGCGGCUCACUGGACCGGUAUUGACGCUGAGGCACGAAAGCGUGGGGAGCAAACAGG